GACGAACGCUGGCGGCGUGCUUAACACAUGCAAGUCGAACGGAAAGGCCCUGCUUUUGUGGGGUGCUCGAGUGGCGAGCGGGUGAGUAACACGUGAGUAACCUGCCCUUGACUUUGGGAUAACUUCAGGAAACUGGGGCUAAUACCGGAUAGGAGCUCCUGCUGCAUGGUGGGGGUUGGAAAGUUUCGGCGGUUGGGGAUGGACUCGCGGCUUAUCAGCUUGUCGGUGGGGUAGUGGCUUACCAAGGCUUUGACGGGUAGCCGGCCUGAGAGGGUGACCGGCCACAUUGGGACUGAGAUACGGCCCAGACUCCUACGGGAGGCAGCAGUGGGGAAUAUUGCACAAUGGGCGGAAGCCUGAUGCAGCAACGCCGCGUGCGGGAUGACGGCCUUCGGGUUGUAAACCGCUUUCGCCUGUGACGAAGCGUGAGUGACGGUAAUGGGUAAAGAAGCACCGGCUAACUACGUG
rnacentral:rRNA from 1 species